UACGUAGGGCGCAAGGCGUUGUCCGGAAUUAUUGGGCGUAAAGAGCUCGUAGGCGGUUUGUCGCGUCGAAUGUGAAAACCCGGGGCUCAACCCCGGGCCUGCAUUCGAUCACGGGCAGACUAGAGUUCGGUAGGGGAGUCUGGAAUUCCUGGUGUAGCGGUGAAAUGCGCAGAUAUCAGGAGGAACACCGGUGGCGAAGGCGGGACUCUGGGCCGAUACUGACGCUGAGGAGCGAAAGCGUGGGGAGCGAACAGG
rnacentral:rRNA from 1 species